GCAGUCGUGGCCGAGUGGUUAAGGCGUCUGACUUGAAAUCAGAUUCCCUCUGGGAGCGUAGGUUCGAGUCCUGCCGACUGCG
rnacentral:tRNA from 1 species